UCUACGAUCUACCAUGUUAUACUAUUUGUUGUGUGCAUUUUCAUCAUGGAAUGCUUGAAAUCUUAAACCUUUUAAAAUCUUUUACUUGUACAGAGGCAGAAAAAGACGAUAUGUUAAGUUGUACAAGUUGAAACCGGAAUGUCUACGAAAAGAGCAGCCUCUGGAUAAUGAAAUUGUCUUGGAGUUGGACCAAAUAGAGAAAGUAUCUGAUAUAGAAGAUAUCUUGGGUUACAGGUUUGCUGCUGAACAUGAGCUUCAGCAUGUUGCUGCUGAAGGCACAACCUUGGUCAAACAGGCAGAAGAUGCUGCAAGUAAUAAGAAGACAGAAAAGAGAUUGCAGGUUGAUCCUACUAUAUGGCCAAUAAUGAUCUUUAGGGUCUGGUAGAAGGAUUGGAGAUUGUAGUUAAGCUUCUAUCUAAGACUUCACACCAAGGACUUGAUGAAUUUAAGAUAUCAUAUUUUUGGCAUGGCUAGAAGCUUUGUAGGAAACGAGACUCAAGCAAAAGUAAACACAGAGAGUUGUUGGCACAUAGUAAGCUAGAUAAUGCAAUUGUAUAUAAAUAAGUUUAUUUUUUUAUAACAUUUACUCACUAUUGGAAUAAUUAUUU